rnacentral:rRNA from 1 species
UACAGAGGGUGCAAGCGUUGUUCGGAAUUAUUGGGCGUAAAGGGCGCGUAGGCGGUGCGGUAAGUCCGCAGUGAAAUCUCUGGGCUCAACUCAGAGUCUGCUAUAGAAACUGCAGUGCUAGAGUGUGGGAGAGGUGAGUGGAAUUCCCGGUGUAGCGGUGAAAUGCGUAGAUAUCGGGGAGGAACACCUGUGGCGAAAAGCGGCUCACUGGACCAGCAACUGACGCUGAGGCGCGAAAAGCUAGGGGGAGCAAACA